UACGAAGGGGGCUAGCGUUGCUCGGAAUCACUGGGCGUAAAGCGCACGUAGGCGGAUUGUUAAGUCAGGGGUGAAAUCCUGGAGCUCAACUCCAGAACUGCCUUUGAUACUGGCGGACUCGAGUCCGGGAGAGGUGAGUGGAACUGCGAGUGUAGAGGUGAAAUUCGUAGAUAUUCGCAAGAACACCAGUGGCGAAGGCGGCUCACUGGCCCGGUACUGACGCUGAGGUGCGAAAGCGUGGGGAGCAAACAGG
rnacentral:rRNA from 1 species